GCCCCUGUGGCCUAAUGGAUAAGGCAUC
rnacentral:piRNA from 1 species